UGGGGAAUCUUGGACAAUGGGGGCAACCCUGAUCCAGCCAUGCCGCGUGAGUGAUGAAGGCCUUAGGGUCGUAAAGCUCUUUCGCCUGUGAAGAUAAUGACGGUAGCAGGUAAAGAAACCCCGGCUAACUCCGUGCCAGCAGCCGCGGUAAUACGGAGGGGGUUAGCGUUGUUCGGAAUUACUGGGCGUAAAGCGCACGUAGGCGGACCAGAAAGUUGGGGGUGAAAUCCCGGGGGCUCAACCCCGGAACUGCCUCCAAAACUAUUGGUCUAGAGUUCGAGAGAGGUGAGUGGAAUUCCAAGUGUAGAGGUGAAAUUCGUAGAUAUUUGGAGGAACACCAGUGGCGAAGGCGGCUCACUGGCUCGAUACUGACGCUGAGGUGCGAAAGUGUGGGGAGCAAACAGGAUUAGAUAUCCUGGUAGUCCACACCGUAAAACGAUGAAUGCCAGUCGUCGGGUAGCAUGCUAUUCGGUGACACACCUAACGGAUUAAGCAUUCCGCCUGGGGAGUACGGUCGCAAGAUUAAAA
rnacentral:rRNA from 1 species